rnacentral:piRNA from 1 species
UCCUCAAACAGGAACCCCGGGGACGACGGC